AUGAACGCUAGCGCAGGCUUAAUACAUGCAAGUUGAGGGGCAGCAUGAUAUACGCGAGUAUAUUGAUGGCGACCGGCGGACGGGUGAGUAAUAGGUAGGAGACCUACCUCAUACAGGGGGAUAGCAUAGAGAAAUCUGUGGUAAUACCCCAUGAGGUUAUAUGAAUAGAGGCAUAUAAUCAAAGCAUAAGCGAUUAUGCGGUAUGAGAGGGGCCUACUGACCAUUAGCUAGUUGGUGAGGUAAGGGCUCACCAAGGCGAAGAUGGUUAGGGGUUUUGAGAGAGAGACCCCCCACAUUGGAACUGAGAGACGGUCCAGACUCCUACGGGAGGCAGCAGUAGGGAAUAUUGGGCAAUGGGCGAAAGCCUGACCCAGCCAUGCCGCGUGAAGGAAGACGGCCUUAUGGGUUGUAAACUUCUUUACUACGCGAAUAGAGGUUAGUACGAGAUACUAAUAGGAAGGUAGUGUAGUAAAAAGCACCGGCUAACUCCGUG
rnacentral:rRNA from 1 species